UACGUAGGUCCCGAGCGUUGUUCGGAAUCACUGGGCGUAAAGCGCGCGUAGGUGGUUUGUUAAGUUGGAUGUGAAAUCCCCGGGCUCAACCUGGGAACUGCAUUCAAAACUGACAAGCUAGAGUAUGGUAGAGGGUGGUGGAAUUUCCUGUGUAGCGGUGAAAUGCGUAGAUAUAGGAAGGAACACCAGUGGCGAAGGCGACCACCUGGACUGAUACUGACACUGAGGUGCGAAAGCGUGGGGAGCAAACAGG
rnacentral:rRNA from 1 species